GGCAUCAAAAUACUUGAGGCAACAACUGAAAACUUCAAGGAGAAACUGACAAAUUCACUGUUACAGUUGAAGACUUCAACAUCCCAUCAGACACUCACCGAGUGGCCCCGGAAUACAGAAAUGGCUCCUCGUUCUCCUCCAAAGAAGGUUUCCACAUCACACAGCCACCACAGAAUAUGCUGUUCAGACAGGUCCCAUGUAGCCCAGUGGGGUCAGUGGUGCGGCGGUCAUUACUGUCCAGCCAGGGAAAAGAUGGGAGGUGAAUCCUGCCUUUCGGAGAAUGAAUGGACGUAAAUCCAUCUGGAUCCUUGGAAGGAAAGGAGAGAAGAAGAUGGGAACUCUCCUUGCUUGCUCAUCUCCGUAUCCCACAAAAACAGGACAGCCGAGUUUUCCAGAAGCUCUCCACUCUGCUUGGUGGGGACAUGCUCUCUCUUUCGGGGAGAUCUGAAGACACUAUACUCUACUUCCCUCAACCGGAUGCCCUCCCUGGAGAGGUUCCUCCCUGGAUAGGCUUCCAAGUCUGGGACUCUACGAUGCGACCAUCUGGGACCUCAGCUGUGCAACUUCCCCUUGUGGGACCCCGGCUUCCUGGCCCCUCCGUUGGGGCACAGCCACCCACGGGACUGCUGGGAGGAUCCAACUCGAGCCGUCAGGUGCCGGGGAAGGGCAGUCCACACCGUGGUGGGGACCCUGCACGUGAACAUUUGGGCAACCUAAAGCUUUGCCCCCCACCAUCCUCAACACAGACGUAGGUGCCUUUCAACCCAAAGUCAGUGCAAAUGAGGAACUGGAACUCAAGCUUCACGUCCAAGUGCAUGAUCCUGUUCAGAUAGUGAAGUCCCCCAUUCUGGAACAAAAGCUUUCACUACGCGACAGCAGGACCUCAAGGAUGCUGGUGAUGCAAAGAGCCAGCCAAGAGAUGUGACAAUCUAGAGCCACAGGAUCUAGAGCCAGACUGCCUGGCCUGAAUUCUGGGGAAGGUAAUGCCUUGGGCCAGUUACCUAACCUCUUCGUGACUCAACUUCCUCAUCUCUAAAAUGGGACAGCAGAGUUUUUAAAAUGAAAAAAGUUAUUUUUUAUAAAAAU
rnacentral:lncRNA from 1 species